rnacentral:rRNA from 1 species
AGAGUUUGAUCAUGGCUCAGGACGAACGCUGGCGGCGUGCUUAACACAUGCAAGUCGAGCGGUAAGGCUCUUUCGGGAGUACACGAGCGGCGAACGGGUGAGUAACACGUGAGCAAUCUGCCCUUCACUUUGGGAUAACCUCCGGAAACGGUGGCUAAUACCGAAUAUGACCACUUCACGCAUGUGAUGGUGGUGGAAAGUUCUGGCGGUGGAGGAUGAGCUCGCGGCCUAUCAGCUUGUUGGUGAGGUAAUGGCUCACCAAGGCUUCGACGGGUAACCGGCCUGAGAGGGUGACCGGCCACACUGGGACUGAGACACGGCCCAGACUCCUACGGGAGGCAGCAGUGGGGAAUAUUGGACAAUGGGCGAAAGCCUGAUCCAGCAACGCCGCGUGAGGGAUGACGGCCUUCGGGUUGUAAACCUCUUUCAGCGGGGACGAAGCGAAAGUGACGGUACCCGCAGAAGAAGGACCGGCCAACUACGUGCCAGCAGCCGCGGUA